AAAGGCGCUUUCGGGUGUCGCUGAUGGAUGGACCCGCGGUGCAUUAGCUAGUUGGUGAGGUAACGGCUCACCAAGGCCACGAUGCAUAGCCGACCUGAGAGGGUGAUCGGCCACAUUGGGACUGAGACACGGCCCAAACUCCUACGGGAGGCAGCAGUAGGGAAUCUUCGGCAAUGGACGAAAGUCUGACCGAGCAACGCCGCGUGAGUGAAGAAGGUUUUCGGAUCGUAAAACUCUGUUGUUAGAGAAGAACAAGGAUGAGAGUAACUGUUCAUCCCUUGACGGUAUCUAACCAGAAAGCCACGGCUAACUACGUGCCAGCAGCCGCGGUAAUACGUAGGUGGCAAGCGUUGUCCGGAUUUAUUGGGCGUAAAGCGAGCGCAGGCGGUUUCUUAAGUCUGAUGUGAAAGCCCCCGGCUCAACCGGGGAGGGUCAUUGGAAACUGGGAGACUUGAGUGCAGAAGAGGAGAGUGGAAUUCCAUGUGUAGCGGUGAAAUGCGUAGAUAUAUGGAGGAACACCAGUGGCGAAGGCGGCUCUCUGGUCUGUAACUGACGCUGAGGCUCGAAAGCGUGGGGAGCAAACAGGAUUAGAUACCCUGGUAGUCCACGCCGUAAACGAUGAGUGCUAAGUGUUGGAGGGUUUCCGCCCUUCAGUGCUGCAGCUAACGCAUUAAGCACUCCGCCUGGGGAGUACGACCGCAAGGUUGAAACUCAAAGGAAUUGACGGGGGCCCGCACAAGCGGUGGAGCAUGUGGUUUAAUUCGAAGCAACGCGAAGAACCUUACCAGGUCUUGACAUCCUUUGACCACUCUAGAGAUAGAGCUUCCCCUUCGGGGGCAAAGUGACAGGUGGUGCAUGGUUGUCGUCAGCUCGUGUCGUGAGAUGUUGGGUUAAGUCCCGCAACGAGCGCAACCCUUAUUGUU
rnacentral:rRNA from 1 species